AUUGGGUCCCAUUGGGUGACAUUGGGUCGUGUUGGGUCCCAUUGGGUCCCGUUGGGUCCCAUUGGGUGGUGUUGUGUCCCAUUGGAUCCCAUUGGGUCCCAUUGGGUGACAUUGGGUCCUAUUGGGUCCCAUUCAGUCCCAAUGGGUCCCAUUGGGUCCUAUUUGGUCUCCCUAUGGGGUCUCAAUGCGUCCCUAUGGGGUCCAAAUGCGUCCCUAUGGGGUCCCAAUGGGGUCCCUAUGGGGUCUCAAUGCGUCCCUAUGGGGUCCAAAUGCGUCCCUAUGGGGUCCCAAUGGGGUCCCUAUGGGGUCUCAAUGCGUCCCUAUGGGGUCCCAACUCUCCCUAUGGGAUCCCUAUGGGGUCUCAUUGUGUCCCCAUGUAUCCCUAUGGGGUCCUUAUGGGGUCCCAAUGCGUCCCAAUGCAUCCCUAUGGGGUCCCAAUGCAUCCCAAUGGGGUCCCAAUGGGGUCCCUAUGGGGUCUCCGUGCGUCCCUAUGGGGUCUCAAUCUGUCCCUACGUGUCCCUAUGGGGUCUCAUUGUGUCCCUAUGGGUCCCUAUGGGGUCCCAAUGUGUCCCAAUGCGUCCCUAUGGGGUCCCUAUGGGUCCCUAUGGGGUCCCUAUGGUGUCCCUAUGGGGUCCCAAUGCGUCCCUAUGGGGUCUCAAUGUGUCCCAAUGGGGUCUCAAUGCAUCCCUAUGGGGUCUCUAUGCGUCCCUAUGGGUCCCUAUGGGGUCCCCAUGCAUCCCUAUGGGGUCCCUAUGGGGUCUCCAUGUGUCCCUAUGGGGUCCCAAUGCAUCCCUAUGGGGUCCCAAUGGGGUCCCUAUGGGGUCCCUAUGGGGUUUCCAUGCAUCCCUAUGGGGUCCCAAUGCAUCCCUAUGGGGUCCCAAUGCAUCCCAAUGGGGUCCCUAUGGGGUCCCUAUGGGGUCUCCAUGCGUCCCUAUGGGGUCCCUAUGGGGUCCCUAUGGGGUCCCUAUGGGGUUUCCAUGCAUCCCUAUGGGGUCCCAAUGCAUCCCUAUGGGGUCCCAAUGGGGUCCCUAUGGGGUCUCCAUGCGUCCCUAUGGGUCCCUAUGGGGUCCCUAUGGGGUCCCUAUGGGGUCUCAUUGUGUCCCAAUGCAUCCCUAUGGGGUCCCAAUGGGGUCCCUAUGGGGUCUCCAUGUGUCCCUAUGGGGUCCCAAUGCAUCCCUAUGGGGUCCCAAUGGGGUCCCUAUGGGGUCUCAUUGUGUCCCUAUGGGUCCCUAUGGGGUCCCUAUGGGGUCCUUAUGGGGUCUCCAUGCGUCCCUAUGGGGUCCCUAUGGGGUCUCCAUGCGUCCCUAUGGGGUCCCAAUGCAUCCCUAUGGGGUCCCAAUGGGGUCCCUAUGGGGUCCCUAUGGGGUUUCCAUGCAUCCCUAUGGGGUCCCAAUGCAUCCCAAUGGGGUCCCUAUGGGGUCCCUAUGGGGUCUCCAUGCGUCCCUAUGGGGUCCCUAUGGGGUCCCUAUGGGGUCCCUAUGGGGUCUCCAUGCGUCCCUAUGGGUCCCUAUGGGGUCCUAUGGGGUCCCUAUGGGGUCUCCAUCCGUCCCUAUGGGGUCCCUAUGGGGUCCCUAUGGGGUCUCCAUGCGUCCCUAUGGGGUCCCUAUGGGGUCCCUAUGGGGUCCCUCCGCCCCACAGCGCUUCCCCCGGAGCUGCUGCCGCUGUUGGCCGCCAUGUUGGACCCGGACCCACAGCGGCGCCCCACAGCGGAGGCUCUGCUGCAGUCGGCCCCUAUGCGGCGUGUGGGGCGAUGGCGGCCGCUCCUCCGCCUCCUGGAUGUGGGGCUGCGCCGGGGGGCGGAGCUGCUGCAGAGCUGCCGUGCCGCCCUCCGGCGGAUGUGGGGCGCUCUAUGGGGCAGAGCUAUGGGGCAGAGCACUCCGCCCCACACCCCCCUCCUGCCCCACAUCGACCCAUGGGAUGAUGAGGAGGAAGAGGAGGACAGCGAAGCUCUAUGGGGCCGCAGCCCCCCCGGGAGCCCCACAGCCUUCCGCCCCACUGCCUCCACCCCACAACACCGUGGGUCGCCACCAAGCACCCCCGAGGGCAGCCCCACAGCUAUGGGGCGCCUGCGCCGCACUCUCACCUUCGAGGAGGAUUCAGAGCCCCAUAGCGCCGCCCCAUAGCGCCGCCCCAUAGCGGGAGCGCUGAUUGGCUGACGGGAUGGAAACGACGCUUCAUGAUUGGCCGAUGGGACAGGACUGAGUUCUGAUUAGCUGAAGUAAUGAAAUCAACGACGCUGAUUGGCCAAAGGAAUGGCGCGGUGCUUCUGAUUGGCCGGUGGGACGGCGCUGCGUUCCGAUUGGCCAAAGGAAUGGGAUCAACGCUUCCGAUUGGUCGAAGGGUGGUGGUUGGAACCGCCCACUAAAGCGCUGCGCGGCAACGGAGCGAGGGGGCGUGGCCAAAGCUAAGCCCCGCCCCCUUUCACCCCCCCCCCCCCCCCCCCCCCCCCCCCCCGUUGCAAUCCCAUUGGCGGACAUCAAAGUGGCAGCACCAUAUAUGGGCGUGGGCUGCGCGUGGUCUAUUUGCAUAGCCACGCCCAGCUCCCCCCGGCGAUUUGAAUAAAGCUUUCAUAUUCAUGAGCUUCGCCCCCUUCCCCCCCCCCCCCCCCAACACUCCGCUGCUUUCCAAAAUGGCCGCCCUCCCCUCACGCUUCC
ensembl:lncRNA